rnacentral:rRNA from 1 species
UAUCAGACAAGACUACCCGCUAACUAA